rnacentral:rRNA from 1 species
CCUACGGGAGGCAGCAGUGGGGAAUAUUGCACAAUGGGGGGAACCCUGAUGCAGCGACGCCGCGUGAGUGAAGAAGUAUUUCGGUAUGUAAAGCUCUAUCAGCAGGGAAGAAAAUGACGGUACCUGACUAAGAAGCCCCGGCUAACUACGUGCCAGCAGCCGCGGUAAUACGUAGGGGGCAAGCGUUAACCGGAUUUACUGGGUGUAAAGGGAGCGCAGACGGCUGUGCAAGUCUGGAGUGAAAGGCGGGGGCCCAACCCCCGGACUGCUCUGGAAACUGUAAAGCGGGAGUGCAGGAGAGGUAAGCGGAAUUCCUAGUGUAGCGGUGAAAUGCGGAGAUAUUAGGAGGAACACCAGUGGCGAAGGCGGCUUACUGGACUGCAACUGACGUUGAGGCUCGAAAGCGUGGGGAGCAAACAGGAUUAGAUACCCGAGUAGUC